rnacentral:rRNA from 1 species
CCUACGGGAGGCAGCAGUGGGGAAUCUUGCGCAAUGGGCGAAAGCCUGACGCAGCCAUGCCGCGUGAAUGAUGAAGGUCUUAGGAUUGUAAAAUUCUUUCACCGAGGACGAUAAUGACGGUACUCGGAGAAGAAGCCCCGGCUAACUUCGUGCCAGCAGCCGCGGUAAUACGAAGGGGGCUAGCGUUGCUCGGAAUUACUGGGCGUAAACGGGAGCGUAGGCGGAUAGUUUAGUCAGAGGUGAAAGCCCAGGGCGUCAACCUUGGAAUUGCCUUUGAUACUGGCUAUCUUGAGUACGGAAGAGGUAUGUGGAACUCCGAGUGUAGAGGUGAAAUUCGUAGAUAUUCGGAAGAACACCAGUGGCGAAGGCGACAUACUGGUCCGUUACUGACGCUGAGGCUCGAAAGCGUGGGGAGCAAACAGGAUUAGAUACCCUGGUAGUCCACGCUGUAAACGAUGAGUGCCUAGUUGUCGGC